rnacentral:rRNA from 1 species
GGGAUUGCCUCAGUAACGGCGAGUGAAGCGGCAACAGCUCAAAUUUGAAAUCUGGCUCCUCUCGGGGUCCGAGUUGUAAUUUGUAGAGAGUGCUUCGGGGGAGACCGCGGUCUAAGUCCAUUGGAACAUGGCGUCAAAGAGGGUGAGAAUCCCGUCUGUGACCGCGGAUCGAGCCCAUGUGAAGCCUCUUCGACGAGUCGAGUUGUUUGGGAAUGCAGCUCAAAAUGGGUGGUAAAUUUCAUCUAAAGCUAAAUACUGGCUGGAGACCGAUAGCGCACAAGUAGAGUGAUCGAAAGAUGAAAAGCACUUUGGAAAGAGAGUUAAACAGUACGUGAAAUUGUUGAAAGGGAAGCGCUUGCGACCAGACCUGCCCGUGGGCGAUCAGCCGCUGUUCUCAGCGGUGCACUCGUUCCACGAUCAGGCCAGCAUCGGUUUCGACGGUCGGAUAAAGGCCUUGGGAAUGUAGCUUCCCUUCGGGGGAGUCUUAUAGCCCUCGGUGCAAUGCGGCCAGCCGGGACCGAGGACCGCGCUUCGGCUAGGAUGCUGGCGUAAUGGUCGUAAGCGACCCGUCUUGAAACACGGACCAAGGAGUCUAACAUCUAUGCGAGUGUUUGGGUGUUAAACCCAUACGCGGAAUGAAAGUGAACGGAGGUGAGAACCCUUAAGGGCGCAUCAUCGACCGAUCCAGAUGUCUUCGGAUGGAUUUGAGUAUGAGCAUAGCUGUUGGGACCCGGUAUGUCUUUGACUCCUGCCUUCUAUUGUAGGACAUUUGCUAACAGUUUGAUUUUAGAAAGAUGGUGAACUAUGCCUGAAUAGGGUGAAGCCAGAGGAAACUCUGGUGGAGGCUCGCAGCGGUUCUGACGUGCAAAUCGAUCGUCAAAUUUGGGUAUAGGGGCGAAAGACUAAUC